GCUGAUGCCCUAAAACCAUUUUUAACGGGAGAACAUGAUUGGUGUUCUAAGCUCAAUAAAAAGAUAAAUAAAUUGAACAGUAGGCUUAGAACAGAUUUUUUGAGUCUUGAAUUAGAACAGAUUUUAGUCCUGUUCUAUGAUCACGUGGCAGUACGUCAAUGGUUGAGUUUUUUUUGCAACUGAGAAAAUUUUUCAUUUCUCUUCCUCUUCCAAAUUGCAUUUAGGUUUUGCGAUGAAAAGAGAGAAAACGGCGAAAGCUUCGAUUUCUACAUCUUCGCCGACUAAGGUUAGUAUUUCGGCCAAAAGUGUCUCUGCUUUGCUCUCAAUUCUCUGUUGUACUGAGUUUGGAGUUGAGAUUCCUGUCUCCGGAUUGUCUUAAACCUUCUUUUACAAUACUCUCCUCUUACAUGCGAGCUUCUCCGAUUCUCAGUUUCUGAUCGCUUCAUAAUUUCGCAAUUACGCGGCCAAGAAAUUCAUCAACAACCCCAACGAUGUUGUAACUGAGUUCAUUGAAGGCCUCGUUGAAACUUAUCAUGGACUUCAGUAUUUGGAUGGUUUCCCUGAGGUUAAGGUGGUUAUACGAGUUGAUGUCUCGGCUGAAAAGUACGACAAGGUUGCCGUUAUAUCAGGUGGAGGCAGUGGGCAUGAGCCUGCACAUGCUGGUUAUGUUGGAGAAGGUAUGCUAACAGCGGCUAUCUGCGGUGAUGUCUUUGCCUCCCCACCAGUUGAUUCCAUCCUUGCUGUGAGUAUUCCAGAUGCGGUUUUCUAUCUUCCCUCUUCUGUAACUGGUACUGAAGGAUGUCUAUUGAUUGUCAAGGUAGUCAGAGUGGGAAAGAGAGCCACAUUCAUACAGUUUUAUUGUUGCGAGGAAUCUUUUCUUCGUGUUUUUGAUUAAUCUAGUUUCCCCAUCAACUCUCUUGGCACUGGUGAUCGCUUGAACUUUGCUUGCUGUUAUUGGAGUUAUUUGGUUCAUAGGCACUUUGCUUCCAUGUUUUUUUUAUGUAACUUCAAUAUUCAUGUAUCAAAUGUACAAUAAAAAUUGAUUAUUAUAUUAUUAAAUCUUAUGAUCUUA